GUGAACGCUGGCGGUAGGCCUAACACAUGCAAGUCGAACGGCAGCACAGUAAGAGCUUGCUCUUACGGGUGGCGAGUGGCGGACGGGUGAGGAAUACAUCGGAAUCUACUUUUUCGUGGGGGAUAACGUAGGGAAACUUACGCUAAUACCGCAUACGACCUACGGGUGAAAGCAGGGGAUCUUCGGACCUUGCGCGAUUGAAUGAGCCGAUGUCGGAUUAGCUAGUUGGCGGGGUAAAGGCCCACCAAGGCGACGAUCCGUAGCUGGUCUGAGAGGAUGAUCGGCCGCAGGGGAGCUGAACCGGGGCCCGCACGCCGAGGGGGGGGAGCGGGGGGGAAUGGGGGACAGGGGGCGAGAGCCUGCUCCACCCAUACGGGGGGGGAGAAAGAGGCCUUGGGUUGGUAAGGCCUUUUGGUGGGAAAAAAAAAGCAGGAGUUUAACACCCGGUUGUUGUGACGGUACCAAAAAAAUAAGCACCGGCAAACUUCGUG
rnacentral:rRNA from 1 species